GCCCAGAUGGCGGAAUUGGUAGACGCGCUUGGUUCAGGUCCAAGUUCUCGCAAGGGUGUGUGGGUUCGAGUCCCGUUCUGGGCA
rnacentral:tRNA from 1 species